AGGAGCAAAAAACAAAAGCACCCCGCUAAACUUGUAAAACUAUUUCAGCCUCAUUUACAUGUUCCAUUCUAACCAAAAGCAAAACAAAAAUGUAUUGGCCUUUAUCUUUUGAAUGGAGUUAGCGUUGUCUUCAAAACAUCUUCUGUUUCUUUCACUCCAAAUAGUCCACCAUAUGCACGCUGGUAUAAUAUUCCACCAUAGUAGCUUUCUCUUCCUGACUCCCUUUCUGUACCAGCACUUCAGCAAGUCCUCUGUUGUCCUUGACAUGACCUACUCCAAACCAAUCAUAUCCAUGAAGAGCUGCCAAGUUGGGUGGUAACUUGGCAGUGCGAAAACAUUUGCUUGUCAAAACAAUACCUAUCUUUUGUAGAUUCUCAUGUGUGAGACAAGCUUCAGUAAAUACCAUCCAUGUGAAACAAGCAACCUUAGUUGGAGCUCUGGACCUCCAAAUUUGUUUCCAUGGGGAAGGCUUUUCAGGAUUAUCCACCUUUUGUUAGAUCUUUAUAGCAACAAUUUACUGAAACUCCAUUGCUUCUUGGCAGUGAUGUCAAAGGCAUGCUUAAAGCGCGCUUAAGCCCUGUAGCGAGGCUCAAAACAUGUUGAGCGCUUCGCCUCGCUUUGUGGGCGCUUCAAUGUAACAUCAACGCUCUAAGGCUUGCCAAUGAGUGCAAUCCUGAAAAGGCGACACUAAACAAUUGAUUUUUCACUUUUUAUCGUAAUUUUUUCCAAUUUCUUUGUCCAUAUAUUUGUUAUUGAUGCUUAUAAUUAUUGGUCUUGGAUUACAUAAUAGAUAUUUUUACUUUUUCUUCAGUUGCACCUUUUUUCAUUAAAGCCCACGCUUUAAUUACGCUUUGCGCUUAAAGCCCCAAAGGACCUUAGAGCUUUUUGUGCUUUUUGCCUUUGAUAACCCUUCUUCUUGGCUUCCAUAUAAGGCUAUGAUCAGUGUUGGAUGGCUGCUGAUUUGUAUUCAGGAGGUUGAAAAAUUCAGCAACCCUGUGUACUUCCCAAUCAUUGAAAUUUCUUGUAAAUGAUGUUCCAAACUCCGUCAAUUCUGUUUUCUGCUAAGGACGAAGUAUUGUUUGCUGCCAGAAUAAACAUAUCAGGUAAAAGGUCCCUCAAAGGUCUGUGACCAGCCCAGUUAUACGGUGCUGGUCUUGUUGCAGUCACUCCAGUCUAUAAGUUACUCAGAAAAAUGCUUCAUUAUAAAAAAAAGAAGAAGAGAAGUUACUCAGAAAAGCUAAGUGUUGUCAUCUCGUCUUUUAAGCAUUGUGCAUCAUAUGUAAACUGUAAUUUUCAUUUUAGUAUUGUUGAACUGUAAUGCUUGGACUCUACGUGUCUACCUCAAAAAGAAGAAUCAGUCAUAAGUUGCUGUAUUGCAAAGAUGCACUAAGCAAUCAACUUUUGCUGCCUGUUGUGCUUCCCAUCCAUUUUAUGCAUCCUACAGAAAGUUUUCAGAGAAAUCAUUUCUUUUUCAUUUACGGUGAAAAUCAUGUGACGGUAAUGCCAUGUUAUGACAAGAAGCUUGAGGCUGCUCGUGAGGACUUUGUGUUUCAAGUGGAUACAGAUCACUACAGGAGAGGUUUUGGAUUUGAUACAGUUAAAAGCAGUCAAUUUUCAAUCCUUGGAAGAGUCACCCCUAGAUAAGUUGUAAGCACUUUUAUACACCUUCCAUUUGUUAAUGCAAAUCUUUACAAUUGAGUGCUUAUAUGCUCUUGCCAAUAUCGAUGAGGAGGGCCAUCUUUAUGGGGUUCACGGAAGCUCUGGAGGAUAUGCAGAUACCAUUUAUCUUCAUGCUGCUAAAGUUCUUUUAUUAAAGGCCCUAUAGCAUUCAAGACUUUAAGCAACUCUGAUUUCCAAGAAGUGAGCCUACAAGUUGUCGUUGCUGAUCCUUUCAACAUCCCCAUCAUAAAAGGCCUAUACAAUGAGUGGCUUGAACAGCCUGGUUCAGAGAAAGCAAAGAGGUACUUGCAUACUGAAUAUCAUCCUGUAGUGAAAAGUAUCACUUCACAGUUGCAGAACUGGUGAGAAAUGCAAAAUAUCAGCUUUUAACCGGUUGGCGGAGUGUUCCCUUCUGGUGUUUUUCUGCAAGAGCAUCCGGAGAGGGUUUUGAUAUUACACUGCAUUGAUUCAUAAGUGCUCGCAAUCUAUGUUCAGAGGGCAUGCACAACAAUUUUGGUCCUGAACGAGUUCACCCCAUACUGUAAAUAUGUUGUGUUUGUACUUGUGAAUUACAGAGUAGUUUAGGUUGCAAUGCUAACAUAUUUGCCCCAUCUAGAUUGGAAGUUGUACUGUACGUGUCUUAUCCCAUAAGCUAUCAAGCUUAUUAAGUUGAGACACUUCAUUUGUAUCCAUUAGGAGAGCGGCAACUUUUUGAUGCCAAUGGUAAA